GGUAUGGGAUGAGCUUGCGUCCGAUUAGCUAGUUGGCGGGGCAACGGCCCACCAAGGCGACGAUCGGUAGCCGGCCUGAGAGGGUGAUCGGCCACAUUGGGACUGAGAUACGGCCCAGACUCCUACGGGAGGCAGCAGUAGGGAAUAUUGCACAAUGGGGGAAACCCUGAUGCAGCAACGCCACGUGUGGGAAGAAGCAUUUCGGUGUGUAAACCACUGUCAUGAGGGAAUAAGGCCCGCCUUCGGACGGGAUUGAAUGUACCUUGAGAGGAAGCACCGGCAAACUUCGUGCCAGCAGCCGCGGUAAUACGAGGGGUGCAAGCGUUGUUCGGAAUUACUGGGCGUAAAGGGAGCGUAGGCGGAGAUUCAAGCGGAUUGUACAAUCCCGGGGCCCAACCCCGGCUCUGCAGUCCGAGCUGGAUCUCUUGGAUAGUUCAGGGGCAGGC
rnacentral:rRNA from 1 species